rnacentral:misc_RNA from 1 species
GAUGAAGAACGUAGCGAAACGCGAUAGUUAAUGUGAAUUGCAGAAUUCAGUGAAUCAUCGAGUCUUUGAACGCACAUUGCGCCCAUUGGUAUUCCGUUGGGCAUGUCUGUUUGAGCGUCAUUACAACAGUUCAGCGUAAGCUGGUUAUGAGUUCUGUUUUUUUAAACAAAAAACAGGCUUUAAAAUGUAUGUUCUGCAGGUCGCUUUGCUAAACCCUAAACAUUAAAUACUGUUCUAGUGAAGCAUUUGCGACUCUGCCUGAAAAAAAACUUUUGUUAAAGUUUGACCUCAGAUCAGACAAGGAUACCCGCUGAACUUAAGCAUAUCAAUAAGCGGAGGA